rnacentral:rRNA from 1 species
UACGUAGGGUGCAAGCGUUGUCCGGAAUUAUUGGGCGUAAAGAGCUUGUAGGCGGUUUGUCGCGUCUGCUGUGAAAUUUCGGGGCUCAACCCCGAACUUGCAGUGGGUACGGGCAGACUAGAGUGUGGUAGGGGAGACUGGAAUUCCUGGUGUAGCGGUGAAAUGCGCAGAUAUCAGGAGGAACACCGGUGGCGAAGGCGGUUCUCUGGGAAUAUCCUGACGCUGGGAGGAAGCGA